rnacentral:rRNA from 1 species
CUUCGGGCCUGGCGCGGAUAGAUGAGCCGAUGUCGGAUUAGCUUGUUGGCGGGGUAAAAGCCCACCAAGGCGAUGAUCCGUAGCUGGUCUGAGAGGAUGAUCAGCCACACUGGAACUGAGACACGGUCCAGACUCCUACGGGAGGCAGCAGUGGGGAAUAUUGGACAAUGGGCGCAAGCCUGAUCCAGCCAUACCGCGUGGGUGAAGAAGGCCUUCGGGUUGUAAAGCCCUUUUGUUGGGAAAGAAAUCCUGCCGGUUAAUAACCAGUAGGGAUGACGGUACCCAAAGAAUAAGCACCGGCUAACUUCGUGCCAGCAGCCGCGGUAAUACGAAGGGUGCAAGCGUUACUCGGAAUUACUGGGCGUAAAGCGUGCGUAGGUGGUUGUUUAAGUCUGCUGUGAAAGCCCUGGGCUCAACCUGGGAAUUGCAGUGGAUACUGGGCGACUAGAGUGUGGUAGAGGAUAGUGGAAUUUCCGGUGUAGCAGUGAAAUGCGUAGAGAUCGGAAGGAACAUCUGUGGCGAAGGCGACUAUCUGGGCCAACACUGACACUGAGGCACGAAAAGCGUGGGGAGCAAACAGGAUUAGAUACCCUGGUAGUCCACGCCCUAAACGAUGUCAACUGGUUGUUGGGGGAGUGAAAUCCCUUAGUAACGAAGCUAACGCGUGAAGUUGACCGCCUGGGGAGUACGGUCGCAAGAUUAAAACUCAAAGGAAUUGACGGGGACCCGCACAAGCGGUGGAUGAUGUGGAUUAAUUCGAUGCAACGCGAAAAACCUUACCUACCCUUGACAUGUCCAGAACCCUGCAGAGAUGCGGGGGUGCCCGAAAGGGAAUUGGAACACAGGUGCUGCAUGGCUGUCGUCAGCUCGUGUCGUGAGAUGUUGGGUUAAGUCCCGCAACGAGCGCAACCCUUAUCAUUAGUUGCUACGCAAGGGCACUCUAAUGAGACUGCCGGUGACAAACCGGAGGAAGGUGGGGAUGACGUCAAGUCCUCAUGGCCCUUAUGGGUAGGGCUUCACACGUCAUACAAUGGUCGGUACAGAGGGUUGCCAAGCCGCGAGGUGGAGCCAAUCCCAGAAAGCCGAUCGUAGUCCGGAUUGUUCUCUGCAACUCGAGAGCAUGAAGUCGGAAUCGCUAGUAAUCGCGGAUCAGCAUGUCGCGGUGAAUACGUUCCCGGGUCU